CAAGGCCCGGGAACGUAUUCACCGCGUCGUUGCUGAUACGCGAUUACUAGCGAUUCCGGCUUCAUGGAGUCGAGUUGCAGACUCCAAUCCGAACUUGGAGUGAUUUUAUGGAUUGGCUCCCUCUCGCGAGGUGGCUGCCCAUUGUAUCACCCAUUGUAGCACGUGUGCAGCCCCAGGCGUAAGGGCCAUGAUGACUUGACGUCGUCCCCACCUUCCUCACUGCUUGCGCAGGCGGUUUCACUAGAGUCCCCGGCAUGAUCCGCUGGUAACUAGUGACAGGGGUUGCGCUCGUUGCGGGACUUAACCCAACAUCUCACGACACGAACUGACGACAGCCAUGCAGCACCUCGCGAUCGACCCGAAGGAGGAUCCCUUUCAAGACCUGUCCGACCGCGUUCGAGCCUGGGUAAGGUUCUUCGCGUUGCAUCGAAUUAAGCCACAUGCUCCACGUCUUGUGCGGGCCACCGUCAAUUCCUUUGAGUUUCACUCUUGAGAGCGUACUCCCCAGGUGGGAUGCUUAACGCGUUAGCUUGGGCGCUGACCCCACAAUGAGGGCCAACACCGAGCAUCCAUCGUUUACGGCGUGGACUACCAGGGUAUCUAAUCCUGUUUGCUCCCCACGCUUUCGUGCCUCAGCGUCAGUACUCGUCCAGUCGCCCGCAUACGCCUCUGGUGUUCCUCGUGAUAUCUACGCAUUUCACCGCUACACCACGAAUUCCAGCGACCUCUCCGAGACUCAAGAACGGCAGUUUCAAAGGCAGUUCCACGGUUGAGCCGUGGGCUUUCACCUCUGACAUACCGUCCCGCCUACACACCCUUUACACCCAGUGAAUCCGGACAACGCUUGCACCCUCCG
rnacentral:rRNA from 1 species